rnacentral:rRNA from 1 species
UACGUAGGUGGCAAGCGUUGUCCGGAAUUACUGGGCGUAAAGCGCAUGCAGGCGGGCUGUUAAGUAGGGCGUGAAAUCUCCCGGCCUAACUGGGAGGGGUCGCUCUAAACUGGCAGUCUUGAGGAUGGCAGAGGUAGGUGGAAUUCCUGGUGUAGUGGUGAAAUGCGUAGAGAUCAGGAGGAACACCGGUGGCGAAGGCGGCCUACUGGGCCAUCACUGACGCUGAGAUGCGAAAGCUCGGGGAGCGAACGGG